UGGGGAAUAUUGGGCAAUGGGGGAAACCCUGACCCAGCAACGCCGUGUGAAGGAAGAAGGCCUUCGGGUUGUAAACUUCUUUUAGCAGGGACGAAGAACGUGACGGUACCUGCAGAAAAAGCAACGGCUAACUACGUGCCAGCAGCCGCGGUAAUACGUAGGUUGCAAGCGUUGUCCGGAUUUACUGGGUGUAAAGGGCGUGUAGGCGGAGAUGCAAGUUGGGAGUGAAAUACCGGGGCUCAACGCCGGAACUGCUUUCAAAACUGUAUCCCUUGAGUGUCGGAGAGGCAAGCGGAAUUCCUAGUGUAGCGGUGAAAUGCGUAGAUAUUAGGAGGAACACCAGUGGCGAAGGCGGCUUGCUGGACGAUAACUGACGCUGAGGCACGAAAGCGUGGGGAGCAAACAGG
rnacentral:rRNA from 2 species